AAUCAACGCUGGCGGCGUGCCUCAGACAUGCAAGUCGAACGAUUAAAGCUCCCUUCGGGGAGUGCAUAAAGUGGCGCACGGGUGAGUAACACGUAAGUAAUCUACCCUCGGGUGGGGAAUAACAUCGGGAAACCGAUGCUAAUACCGCAUAAUGCAGCGGCACCGCAAGGUGACAGUUGUUAAAGAUUUAUUGCCUGGGGAGGAGCUUGCGGCAGAUUAGCUAGUUGGUAAGGUAACGGCUUACCAAGGCUACGAUCUGUAUCCGGUCUAAGAGGACGGUCGGACACACUGACACUGAAUAACGGGUCAGACUCCUACGGGAGGCAGCAGUCGGGAAUUUUGGGCAAUGGGGGAAACCCUGACCCAGCAACGCCGCGUGAAGGAUGAAGUAUUUCGGUAU
rnacentral:rRNA from 1 species